AGUGAACGCUGGCGGUAGGCCUAACACAUGCAAGUCGAACGGCAGCACAGUAAGAGUUUGCUCUUACGGGUGGCGAGUGGCGGACGGGUGAGGAAUACAUCGGAAUCUACUUUUUCGUGGGGGAUAACGUAGGGAAACUUACGCUAAUACCGCAUACGACCUACGGGUGAAAGCAGGGGAUCUUCGGACCUUGCGCGAUUGAAUGAGCCGAUGUCGGAUUAGCUAGUUGGCGGGGUAAAGGCCCACCAAGGCGACGAUCCGUAGCUGGUCUGAGAGGAUGAUCAGCCACACUGGAACUGAGACACGGUCCCGACUCCUACGGGAGGCAGCAGUGGGGAAUAUUGGACAAUGGGCGCAAGCCUGAUCCAGCCAUACCGCGUGGGUGAAGAAGGCCUUCGGGUUGUAAAGCCCUUUUGUUGGGAAAGAAAAGCAGCAGGUUAAUACCCCGCUGUUCUGACGGUACCCAAAGAAUAAGCACCGGCUAACUUCGUG
rnacentral:rRNA from 1 species